AUUGGGUAAUUUAUAAAGGAAAGAGGUUUAAUUUACUCACAGCUCAACAUGGUUGGGGAGGCCUCAGGAAACUUACAAUCGUGGCGAAAGGGGAAGCAAACAUGUCCUUCUUCACAUGGUGGGAGCAAGGAGAAGUGCCUAACAAAAGAGGGGAAAACUCCUUAUAAACCAUCAGCUCCUGUAAGAACUCACUCACUAUCAUGAGAACAGCAGCAUGCGGAUUCAGGGCUUUGUUCUGUUGUCCAGACUAGAGUGCAAUGGCAUCAUAAUUAGCUGACUGCAGCCCUAAACUCCAGGGCCCAAGGGUUCAAGCAAUCCUCCUACCUCAGCAGGCACAUGCCACUGAACCAGGGUAAUUUAAAAAGCAUUUUUUUUUUCUCAUGGAUGAUGUCUUGCUUUGUUCCCGGCUUUCAGCAACCCUUUCACUGCAGCCUCCCAGAGUGCUGGGAUUACAGGCAUGAUCUACUACACCCAGCCUCAAACGUCUUUUUAGAACGUAGGAAAAAGUCUGAGAGACGUGAAAGAACAUAAAACCUGGAGUAACUGAUUUACAGUGAUUGUAGGUCUCAAUUGUCAGAUUUGAUUCAUUCACAUCAAAUAUUCCCACACUCUCACUUUUCCAGUCUCUUCAUUCUGAUGCUUGUUGAAUGCCUUGUUACUUUUACAGUUUCAUUAAAGUCACAAUGCUCAGCCCACCGUUUUGUUGAAAGAGGUAGGAGGUGCCUCCAGGAAAUUUCAAGCCACCUGGGACAUUGAAGCCACCUGCUUCUCUGACAGCUUCUUUUUGGGGUUUACAUUGCCUUGAGCAGUGACUUGUCACUUCCCACCUUCAGUAGGUGGGAAGGAGUGAAUAGGCACGGUGCCCACACAUCCUCUUAAACAAUUUAUAAUAGUUAAAGAAGAAAAAGAGGCCCUGCUAACUCAUUAUGGUUGAAUUUAAUAAAUUUUCUAGCCAUGAUUAAAUGAUCUUUUUUUUUCUGACUUUAUUCUUUCUCUUGAUUCCCUUUAUAGCCACAAUGAGGUCACUAGUACCUGUUUUUUUGAACAAUUAAUUUUUUUGACAUAAAUGUACUCAAGUGCAAAAACUAUAGUGUUCCCAUACAUCCUUCCAUUAUAUUAAUAUCUUCCACAACUGUAUACAGCGUUGCAUUAACAUCUUCUCUAGCCACAUACCUUGAUCAAAACAAAGUGCAUCUUGUUAUAACACUAUUAGCUUUUUAAAGUUAAUAAACUACAAUCACUUAGAUUUCACCUAAUGUCGUUUUUUCUGUUCUGUGACCCAAUCUGAGAUCUCACAUUAGGUUCAGCUAUCACAACUUUCCUCUAAUUUGGAACAGGUCCUCAUUCUCUCCUUGUCUUUCAUAACCUUGACACUUGCCAAGAGUACUGCUCAGUUAUCAGAAAACAAUAAACAACCUCAAUUUGGGUGUGUUUAUUGUUUUCUCAUCAUUAUGCUGAAGUUGCGCACCAAUGGGAAGGAUACUAGAAAAGUGAUGGGUCCUUCUUAAUGCAUCCUAUCAGGGGUGUGUGUCAAUGUGUAUGUAUUACUUACAAUGUUAAUCACGAUACGUUGGCUUAGAUGAUGUCGGCCAAGAUGCUCUACUCUGUUAACUAUUCUUCCAUUUGUAAUUGCCACAUAUUUCAAGGGAGAUACAUUGAGACUACACAAAUGCCCUAUUUGGACUUAAACUUUUAUGUCAGGCUACCCAAGGCCUAGUCUUCUAUGAAUAUAAAACUGAUGUUCUUAGGUUACCUAAACUAUCAAGCACCCUCCCCCUUUACCUAAAACAAACGUCUUUCACAAGUUCAGCUUAGAGGGUUGCCGGCAAGGUUUCAGUUUCCUUUCCGUUUCAGAUCCAUAUGAAUUACUUCUUACUGUCUUAUAAACUCAGUUAAAACACUGAAUGGAGUGCUUGUUAUAUUUUAUCCAGCAUUUCUCUGUGUUUUGUAAUGGGGAUUAUCUUUUCAGAUUAACUCUGCUAACAAGGUGCUGAAAAUGAUUAUUGCUUUACCCACCUGCGCACAUUGACACCAACAUACAUUUAUUUUCUCAAGGCCAUCAUUGUGAUAUUUAUGUUUUCUAAACUUUUCUUGAUUUGUGAAAUUUUUCAUGUGAAAAGACAAUUGUGUAAAAAUUAAAUUCUUGUUACACCUUUA